rnacentral:lncRNA from 1 species
UGCYGCCUGCCCGGGUACCGGCGGCGCCCGGCCGAGCUGAGAGCAGCGACGGGCUCUUUCUCUUCCUCCUCUUCGACUUUGCAGCUCGUCUGAGCAGACGAGGGGGCAUUAGCCGAGGAGAAGUGGUGUGGCCUGGCAUGAGGCUGGCUUUUUUGGCUGCUUUAUGCCCUUUCUUGUUUGUUUUCUAACCUGGGGAACAUACAGACUCGGAGUAACUGAAACAGGCACGUUUCCAAAACACAUUAACAAGAGCAAAAAAAAAAAAGAAAAGAAAAAGGCACUGCACAGGGGGACCUUUGAGGUAGUAGAAAUUUUUUCCUUCAAUGUCUGGCACCAGAGAGAGCGAGAGAGAGCGCGCGCGCAAGAGCACACGUGCGUGUGCAUGUGUUUCUCUGCAUGUUCAGGGCCGCACGUGUCCCCCACACGCGGGGAGGGAGGUCUCGGGGUGCAAGCCUGGCCCCGGGAGCCGACACACCGGUGCCCGCGCAGGCGCGUGGCUUUGCACACGCGCGUGGCUUUGCCUGCAGUCCCUGGCCCGCCGUGGGGCCGUGGGGCUGGAGAAGCCCCCCGUGCGUGGGCGCUGCCGCAGGCCUGCCAGGGAUGGGGGUUUUCCCGCGGCAGCAGCUGGCCGGGGGCUCACCGGGACAUCUCGCGUGGGGCUUUCGGGAGGGGAAAAGGGGCAGCAUCUCCCAGUCCCGUUCCCUGGCUUGGUCCUUGGCCACAUCCAGAAGAAACAAACAUUGCAACCACCCGGAAAGGAGCAGACGGGGUGCGAAAUACCUGGGCCCUGCUCCGCAAGCCGGAGAGGCACCAGCGCUCCCGGGGCCGCCCUGGCAGAGCAGUGCCUGGGGCUGCCCGGGCAUCUCUGCUCACUGCCUCGAUCACGGGCAAGGCCAGCCCAUCUCGUCCCUUCCCCUUCCCUGCGAGGAAAGGAACAAAUCCCCGAGGCAUUCCGGUCGGGCACAUUCCUCUGCAUGCCGGCUCCCGCACGGCUGGGCACCGCCG